AAUUACCCAAUGUGGACUCCACGAGGUAGUGACGAGAAAUAUCAAUGCGGGGCGCUUCGCGUCUUGCUAUUGGAAUGAGAGCAAUGUAAAACCCUCAUCGAGGAUCAACUGGAGGGCAAGUCUGGUGCCAGCAGCCGCGGUAAUUCCAGCUCCAGAAGCGUAUGCUAAAGUUGUUGCAGUUAAAAAGCUCGUAGUUGAAUUUCUGGUGUGGGAGCCCAGGCCUCGGUGCGAAUGCGCCUUGUUUUGCCUUGCGGCUCCUUUGCCAUCCUCGUUUUUCGUAAGAAAGGCGUCAUUCACUGUAAUCAAAGCAGAGUGUUCCAAGCAGGCCGUAGGGCCGGUAUGUUUAUUAUGGGAUGAUCAGAUAGGACUCGGGUGCUAUUUUGUUGGUUUGCACAUCUGAGUAAUGAUUAAUAGGAACAGUCGGGGGUAUCCGUAUUUAGGAGCUAGAGGUGAAAUUCUUGGAUUUCCGAAAGACGAACUACAGCGAAGGCAUUUACCAAGCAUGUUUUCAUUAAUCAAGAACGAAAGUCUGGGGAUCG
rnacentral:rRNA from 1 species